CAGCCGGGUAAUACGUAGGUGGCAAGCGUUGUCCGGAAUUAUUGGGCGUAAAGGGCUCGCAGGCGGUUUCUUAAGUCUGAUGUGAAAGCCCCCGGCUCAACCGGGGAGGGUCAUUGGAAACUGGGAAACUUGAGUGCAGAAGAGGAGAGUGGAAUUCCACGUGUAGCGGUGAAAUGCGUAGAGAUGUGGAGGAACACCAGUGGCGAAGGCGACUCUCUGGUCUGUAACUGACGCUGAGGAGCGAAAGCGUGGGGAGCGAACAGGAUUAGAUACCCCCGUAGUCCCUGUCUCUUAUACACAU
rnacentral:rRNA from 1 species